rnacentral:rRNA from 1 species
UACGAAGGGUGCAAGCGUUAAUCGGAAUUACUGGGCGUAAAGCGCACGCAGGUGGCUGAGUCAGUCGAUUGUGAAAGCCCUGGGCUUAACCUGGGAAUUGCAGUCGAUACUACUCAGCUAGAGUAUGGGAGAGGGUAGUGGAAUUCCUAGUGUAGAGGUGAAAUGCGCAGAUAUCAGGAGGAACACCAGCGGCGAAGGCGGCGCUCUGGGCUGGAACUGACGCUGAGGAGCGAAAGCGUGGGGAGCGAACAGG